GAUGAACGCUGGCGGCGUGCCUAACACAUGCAAGUCGAACGGAGUCCAGCCUUUAAGACCUUCGGGUCAAAGAGGGGAAGACUGAGUGGUGGACGGGUGAGUAACACGUGGGCAACCUGGCUCAUAGAGGGGGAUAACAGAGAGAAAUUUCUGCUAAUACCGCAUAAGCACACACUGCCGCAUGGCAGAGGGUGAAAAGAGAAUCGUUAUGAGAUGGACCCGCGUCUGAUUAGCCAGUUGGCAGGGUAAGAGCCUACCAAAGCGACGAUCAGUAGCCGAUCUGAGAGGAUGAACGGCCACAUUGGGACUGAGACACGGCCCAAACUCCUACGGGAGGCAGCAGUGGGGGAUAUUGCACAAUGGGGGGAACCCUGAUGCAGCGACGCCGCGUGAGUGAAGAAGUAUUUCGGUAUGUAAAGCUCUAUCAGCAGGGAAGAUAAUGACAGUACCUGAAGAAGAAGCCCCGGCUAACUACGUG
rnacentral:rRNA from 1 species